rnacentral:rRNA from 1 species
GUCCGCGGGAAUACGUAGGGUGCGAGCGUUAAUCGGAAUUACUGGGCGUAAAGCGGGCGCAGACGGUUACUUAAGCAGGAUGUGAAAUCCCCGGGCUCAACCUGGGAAUUGCGUUCUGAACUGGGUGGCUAGAGUGUGUCAGAGGGGGGUAGAAUUCCACGUGUAGCAGUGAAAUGCGUAGAGAUGUGGAGGAAUACCGAUGGCGAAGGCAGCCCCCUGGGAUAGCACUGACGUUCAUGCCCGAAAGCGUGGGUAGCAAACAGGAUUAGAUACCCCAGUAGUCCCUGUCUCUUAUACACAU